ACUUCUUCCGGGGUCUUUGCACUUGUUGGGACUCGCUUCUGGCGGGCCAGAGGACCCCGCGCUAGGAACGGGCCUUCGGCGCCGCGGCUGGCGCGUCCUGUGGGUUGUUGUUUUUACCAGCGGGCUCCAGGGCUUUUCCUUCCCGCCCCUGCGGUGGGGAAGGGCACAGAGGACCCGGGUGUGGGGCCAGGCGGCCAUAGCCCCCGCCGGCGCGGCGCGGGGUUGGCGGGGGUGGAAUGAACGAGAUUCCGGGCGGGGAAGCUACACCCGUCUGCAGCCUGCCACACUGGCCUCAGGGCGGAGGGACUCCGUGAGACCCCUGUCCCGGAGUCCUUUCCUAGAAUCUCUGAAGCUCGAAGCUUUACAGACAGCGAGGGUGACACCUUGUCCUGUGGAUGGAAAAACUCAGGCCCUCUUUUCUUAUUUCCUCGCCUGGCUACGCUUGACUCACCAGCUAUCCUCUCCAGUCCUGUUUUUUGAAUUAUAAAAUAAUAACUGUAUGAUAGAAACUUGGGUCAAUAAUAAUCAGUGGUGUAGACUUUAAUUCAUUACUUAUUAAGUGCUACCGAGAGCCACAUACUUUCAGUUGUUAGGUACAGAGAUGCG